rnacentral:rRNA from 1 species
AGUGAACGCUGGCGGUAGGCCUAACACAUGCAAGUCGAACGGCAGCACAGUAAGAGCUUGCUCUUACGGGUGGCGAGUGGCGGACGGGUGAGGAAUACAUCGGAAUCUACUUUUUCGUGGGGGAUAACGUAGGGAAACUUACGCUAAUACCGCAUACGACCUACGGGUGAAAGCAGGGGAUCUUCGGACCUUGCGCGAUUGAAUGAGCCGAUGUCGGAUUAGCUAGUUGGCGGGGUAAAGGCCCACCAAGGCGACGAUCCGUAGCUGGUCUGAGAGGAUGAUCAGCCACCCUGGAACUGAGACACGGUCCAGACUCCUACGGGAGGCAGCAGUGGGGAAUAUUGGACAAUGGGCGCAGGCCUGAUCCAGCCAUACCGCGUGGGUGAAGAAGGCCUUCGGUUUGUAAAGCCCUUUUGUUGGGAAAGAAAAGCAGCAGGUUAAUACCCCGCUGUUCUGACGGUACCCAAAGAAUAAGCACCGGCUAACUUCGUG